AAACUAUAAUCUCCUCCUUCACCUUAUCCAUCUCUUCCUUACAGUAAUUCAAUCAUACCAAUAACUGCUAUUUCCACCAAUAUAUUCACCUUCAUAAUCUCUAACUGUAAUACUGCGCCCUCACAGCUUUCAAUACACAAUUAUCCUCAUUCUAAUCAUUGAAAUUCUUCACACAGAACUGCCAUUCACAUUACGGUGUUUCACACAAACACA
rnacentral:lncRNA from 1 species